rnacentral:rRNA from 1 species
AUUGAACGCUGGCGGCAUGCCUUACACAUGCAAGUCGAACGGUAACGGGCCUUCGGGUGCCGACGAGUGGCGAACGGGUGAGUAAUGUAUCGGAACGUACCUUUCAGUGGGGGAUAACGUAGCGAAAGUUACGCUAAUACCGCAUAUUCUGUGAGCAGGAAAGCAGGGGAUCGCAAGACCUUGCGCUGAUUGAGCGGCCGAUAUCAGAUUAGCUAGUUGGUGAGGUAAAGGCUCACCAAGGCGACGAUCUGUAGCGGGGCUGAGAGGAUGAUCCGCAACACUGGGACUGAGACACGGUCCAUACUCCUACGGGAGGCAGCAGUGGGUAAUUUUGGACAAGGGGGGCAACACUGUUCCAGCCAUGCCGCGUGAGUGAAGAAGGCCUUCGGGUUGUAAAGCUCUUUCGGCCGGGAAGAAAUCGUAUGGGUUAAUACCCUGUGCGGAUGACGGUACCGGCAUAAGAAGCACCGGCUAACUACGUGCCAGCCGCCGCCGUAAGAC